rnacentral:rRNA from 1 species
GGCCUAACACAUGCAAGUCGAACGUGAUCCAGGCUUCGGCCUGGUGAAAGUGGCAGACGGGUGAGUAACGCGUGGGAACCUGCCCUGUGGUAGGGAAUAACCGUGGAAAACUGCGGCUAAUACCCUAUGAGUCCUUCGGGAGAAAGAUUUAUCGCCAUAGGAGGGGCCCGCGUCGGAUUAGGUAGUUGGUGGGGUAACGGCCUACCAAGCCUUCGAUCCGUAGCUGGUCUGAGAGGAUGAUCAGCCACACUGGGACUGAGAUACGGCCCAGACUCCUACGGGAGGCAGCAGUGGGAAAUAUUGGACAAUGGGGGCAACCCUGAUCCAGCAAUGCCGCGUGGAUGAUGAAGGCCUUCGGGUUGUAAAGUCCUUUCGGCGGGGAAGAUGAUGACGGUACCCGCAGAAGAAGCCCCGGCUAACUUCGUGCCAGCAGCCGCGGUAAUACGAAGGGGGCUAGCGUUGUUCGGAAUUACUGGACGUAAAGGGCGCGUAGGCUGUGCUGUAAGUCAGGCGUGAAAGCCCCGGGCUCAACCUGGGAAUUGCGCUUGAUACUGCGGCGCUGGAAGGUGGGAGAGGAUGGCGGAAUUCCCAGUGUAGAGGUGAAAUUCGUAGAUAUUGGGAAGAACACCGGUGGCGAAGGCGGCCAUCUGGCCCACAUUUGACGCUGAGGCGCGAAAGCGUGGGGAGCAAACAGGAUUAGAUACCCUGGUAGUCCACGCUGUAAACGAUGAGUGCUAGACGUCGGGGAGCUUGCUCUUCGGUGUCGCCGCUAACGCAUUAAGCACUCCGCCUGGGGAGUACGGUCGCAAGAUUAAAACUCAAAGGAAUUGA